GAUGAACGCUAGCUACAGGCUUAACACAUGCAAGUCGAGGGGCAGCAUGAACUUAGCUUGCUAAGUUUGAUGGCGACCGGCGCACGGGUGAGUAACACGUAUCCAACCUGCCGAUGACUCGGGGAUAGCCUUUCGAAAGAAAGAUUAAUACCCGAUGGCAUAGUUCUUCCGCAUGGUAGAACUAUUAAAGAAUUUCGGUCAUCGAUGGGGAUGCGUUACAUUAGGUUGUUGGCGGGGUAACGGCCCACCACGCCUUCGAUGGAUAGGGGUUCUGAGAGGAAGGUCCCCCACAUUGGAACUGAGACACGGACCAAACACCUACGGGAGGCAGCAGUGAGGAAUAUUGGUAAAUGGACGAGAGUCUGAACCAGCCAAGUAGCGUGAAGUAGGACUGCCCUAUGGGUUGUAAACUUCUUUUAUACGAGAAUAAAGUGAGGCACGGGUGCCUUUUUGGAUGUACCGUAUGAAUAAGGAUCGGCUAACUCCGUG
rnacentral:rRNA from 1 species